AUGUCUCUCCUUUGGGCCUUGGCUGUGCUCAUCAUCACCUCAGUCUUAAAAAGGAGUGUUGCACAGUCAGUCGACCAAACGGAAGGCACUGUGACUACCCUCGAAGGACACCGUUUUGCUCUCAACUGUUCCUAUAAAUAUUCUGGCACAGUCAGCGCAUUCUGGUACAUUCAGCAUCCCAGCCAACCUCCCAGACUCCUUCUGAGUAAUUAUGGAGCAGGUUCCACCUCCGGUGAGGGGCUCAGUCAAGGGUUUAAUGCCAAGCUCGAUACUCAGACCUUCAACAUGGAGAGAUCUGCCAGCCGUCUGAAUGACUCUGCUAUCUACUUCUGUGCUGUGAGAGACACAGUGAGGUUUUGGACAAAAGGACCUGCCUGUCCUGGUAUCGGAGCUUCGGCCUAUCCAUGACCACAUCCCCUGUCUCUGGCCUUCUGUUUGUGUCCUGUUCUCAUCUGGGGAUGGA